AAUUUUAUAGAAAAGGCUCAAUUCAAACCUGAAAUGUUCCUGCUCCAGCCAAGGAUAAGCUGCCUAUCACACCAAAGGCUGAGCUAAAACUGGGGGACGCUAGGGAGGAGCCAGGGAGGAGUAACAGUAUCCUAUUCCAUUAAGCCCAGCCUAUCCGAGCAAAGACUAAGCACCUCCUAUUCUCUGGAUGCUUGGAGCAGCUCAAUGAAG